rnacentral:rRNA from 1 species
UAAAAUUUUAUAAAAUUAGGUAGUAUAAGAAAUGUCUGAAACCUAAAGAAUUUGGCGGUAUUUUAAAUAAUUGGAGGAACCUAUUAUGUAAUUGAUAAUCCACAACAUAUCUUUCCUAAAUUUUGUUUGUAUAUCGUUGUUUUAAGAUAAUAUUUAAAAAUUAUAAUCAAAAAUAGUUUUACUUGCUAAAUCAAAUCAAGGUGCAGCAUAUUUAGGUAUUAAUGGGUUACAUUAUAAUUUAUAUACACGGAAAUUUUAUAAAAAUAAAAUUUGAAGGUGGAUUCAAAAGUAAAAUAAAAUUAAUAUGUUCAUUUGAUUAAAAAUUUAAAAUAUGC